GACUUGGAGGUUGUUCCCUGAGGAGUGGCUUCGGAGCUAACGCGUUAAGUCGACCGCCUGGGGAGUACGGCCGCAAGGUUAAAACUCAAAUGAAUUGACGGGGGCCCGCACAAGCGGUGGAGCAUGUGGUUUAAUUCGAUGCAACGCGAAGAACCUUACCUACUCUUGACAUCCAGAGAACUUAGCAGAGAUGCUUUGGUGCCUUCGGGAACUCUGAGACAGGUGCUGCAUGGCUGUCGUCAGCUCGUGUUGUGAAAUGUUGGGUUAAGUCCCGCAACGAGCGCAACCCUUAUCCUUUGUUGCCAGCGGUUCGGCCGGGAACUCAAAGGAGACUGCCAGUGAUAAACUGGAGGAAGGUGGGGAUGACGUCAAGUCAUCAUGGCCCUUACGAGUAGGGCUACACACGUGCUACAAUGGCGUAUACAAAGAGAAGCGACCUCGCGAGAGCAAGCGGACCUCAUAAAGUACGUCGUAGUCCGGAUUGGAGUCUGCAACUCGACUCCAUGAAGUCGGAAUCGCUAGUAAUCGUAGAUCAGAAUGCUACGGUGAAUACGUUCCCGGGCCUUGUACACACCGCCCGUCACACCAUGGGAGUGGGUUGCAAAAGAAGUAGGUAGCUUAACUUCGGGAGGGCGCUUA
rnacentral:rRNA from 1 species